GAUGAACGCUGGCGGCGUGCCUAAUACAUGCAAGUCGAGCGAAUGGAUUAAGAGCUUGCUCUUAUGAAGUUAGCGGCGGACGGGUGAGUAACACGUGGGUAACCUGCCCAUAAGACUGGGAUAACUCCGGGAAAGCGGGGCUAAUACCGGAUAACAUUUUGAACGGCAUGGUUCGAAAUUGAAAGGCGGAUUCGGCUGUCACUUAUGGAUGGACCCGAGUCGCAUUAGCUAGUUGGUGAGGUAACGGCUCACCAAGGCGACGAUGCGUAGCCGACAGGAGAGGGUGAUCGGCCAGACUGGGACUGAGACACGGCCCAGACUCCUACGGGAGGCAGCAGUAGGGAAUCUUCCGCAAUGGACGAAAGUCUGACGGAGCAACGCCGCGUGAGUGAUGAAGGCUUUCGGGUCGUAAAACUCUGUUGUUAGGGAAGAACAAGUGCUAGUUGAAUAAGCUGGCACCUUGACGGUACCUAACCAGAAAGCCACGGCUAACUACGUGCCAGCCGCCGCAGUAA
rnacentral:rRNA from 1 species